rnacentral:rRNA from 1 species
GAUGAACGCUGGCGGCGUGCCUAAUACAUGCAAGUCGAGCGAACGGACGAGAAGCUUGCUUCUCUGAUGUUAGCGGCGGACGGGUGAGUAACACGUGGAUAACCUACCUAUAAGACUGGGAUAACUUCGGGAAACCGGAGCUAAGACCGGAUGAUAUUUUGAACCGCAUGGUUCAAAAGUGAAAGACGGUCUUGCUUUCACUUAUAGAUGGAUCCGCGCUGCAUUAGCUAGUUGGUAAGGUAACGGCUUACCAAGGCAACGAUGCAUAGCCGACCUGAGAGGGUGAUCGGCCACACUGGAACUGAGACACGGUCCAGACUCCUACGGGAGGCAGCAGUAGGGAAUCUUCCGCAAUGGGCGAAAGCCUGACGGAGCAACGCCGCGUGAGUGAUGAAGGUCUUCGGAUCGUAAAACUCUGUUAUUAGGGAAGAACAUAUGUGUAAGUAACUGUGCACAUCUUGACGGUACCUAAUCAGAAAGCCACGGCUAACUACGUG